rnacentral:rRNA from 1 species
AACGAACGCUGGCGGCAUGCCUAACACAUGCAAGUCGAACGAGACCUUCGGGUCUAGUGGCGCACGGGUGCGUAACGCGUGGGAACCUGCCCUUAGGUUCGGAAUAACUCCCCGAAAGGGGUGCUAAUACCGGAUAAUGUCUUCGGACCAAAGAUUUAUCGCCUUUGGAUGGGCCCGCGUUGGAUUAGCUAGUUGGUAGGGUAAAAGCCUACCAAGGCGACGAUCCAUAGCUGGUCUGAGAGGAUGAUCAGCCACACUGGGACUGAGACACGGCCCAGACUCCUACGGGAGGCAGCAGUGGGGAAUAUUGGACGAUGGGCGAAAGCCUGAUCCAUCAAUGCCGCGUGAGUGAUGAAGGCCUUAGGGUUGUAAAGCUCUUUUACCCGGGAUGAUAAUGACAGUACCGGGAGAAUAAGCUCCGGCUAACUCCGUG